CUUAUCAAGAGAGACGGAGGGAAAGGCCCUGUGAAGUCCAGCAACCGGAACAGUCCGGUGCUAAAUCCUUCGGCGGACGAUAAAGCGUCCGGCCGGCAGAUGAG
rnacentral:ncRNA from 1 species